UGAGGAAUAUUGGUCAAUGGAGGCAACUCUGAACCAGUCAUGCCGCGUGCAGGAUGACUGCCCUAUGGGUUGUAAACUGCUUUUAUACAGGAAGAAAUGUAUCUACGUGUAGAUAUUUGACGGUACUGUAGGAAUAAGGAUCGGCUAACUCCGUGCCAGCAGCCGCGGUAAUACGGAGGAUCCGAGCGUUAUCCGGAAUUAUUGGGUUUAAAGGGUUCGUAGGCGGCCUUAUAAGUCAGGGGUGAAAUCUCUCAGCUCAACUGAGAACUUGCCUUUGAUACUGUAUGGCUUGAAUAAUAUUGAAGUAACUAGAAUAUGUAGUGUAGCGGUGAAAUGCAUAGAUAUUACAUGGAAUACCAAUUGCGAAGGCAGGUUACUAAUUAUUUAUUGACGCUGAUGAACGAAAGCGUGGGUAGCGAACAGG
rnacentral:rRNA from 1 species